UACGGAGGGGGCUAGCGUUGUUCGGAAUUACUGGGCGUAAAGCGCGCGUAGGCGGACCUGCAAGUCGGGGGUGAAAGCCCGAGGCUCAACCUCGGAACUGCCUUCGAUACUGCGGGUCUCGAGUCCGGGAGAGGUGAGUGGAAUUCCUAGUGUAGAGGUGAAAUUCGUAGAUAUUAGGAAGAACACCAGUGGCGAAGGCGGCCAGCUAGACCAGUUCUGACACUGAGGCGCGACAGCGUGGGGAGCAAACAGG
rnacentral:rRNA from 1 species